CCCAGAUGGGUCUGCGAAUGGCUCAUUAAAUUCAGCAAUCAUCCAGCCGACCGAAGUGAUCCACGGGGAGUGGCUACUGCCAACCUCCCCUUGCCAAGUGGAUAACCCUUCUAACUGGAUGGCUAAUACGUGCAAGAAACAGCAACCGUCAGCCCAUUGUUGUUGGACGAGCAGCCAGUGGUCGUGAGGUACCGAGGGGAAGUUGUUCUUGCAGCUGCACCCAUGGUUGCCUUGCUGUACUGCUGUCUAGCAGCCGUUUCCAGACUGGGAUCAGCCUUUGGUCAGUCUCUUCCAGGCCCUCGGGUCUGUGUUGUUGACUGCAAAGCAUGAUGGUUGGGCGGUGGACCGUACACCAAGACAGGCGCCAGUCCAAUGGCACUCAUACUGCACUGCUGACUCAGGUCCACCGUGUUCAUGAAGCAUGCCGGCGAAAGCAGAGUGGUCCGUAGCAAGACUGCUGCGACGUCGGAUGAAUUUCUGCCCUAUCAGCUGAGGAUUGUGGUGCAGUGGACCACAAUGGCUUUCACGGGUAACGGGGAAUCAGGGUUCGAUUCCGGAGAGGGAGCCUGAGAAACGGCUACCACUGCUAAGGCAGGCAGCAGGCACGUAAAUUGCCCAUUGUGAACACAAUUCAUGAGGCAGCGAGCGAGGAAUGGCAGCGCUGCCAGUCCUCCGUGAUUGGGUGGCGUUAGCAAUGGAUGCAUUACUUAAACUCCGCAGUGAGUAUCGACUGGAGGGUAAGUCUGGUGCCAGCAGCCGCGGUAAUUCCAGCUCCAGUAGCCUAUACUAAUAUUGCUGCUGUUAAAAAGCUCGUAGUUGAAUGCAGAGUCAGCAGUGCUGUUGGACCAGAAUUUCAUCCUCUUGUCAAUGGCUCGUGCACCCGUUCGUCGGGACCGUGCUGUUCUCGAGGUUCUGGACCACCUGGCUUCGUAUCUGAUGGGCACCUGCCUGGAUGUGCAAGGCUUGGUAGACCAGCAGCCCAACUGCCAGCUCACCGUGCAGUGGAAUCGACCCUGUUUCUUGUGUGUCACACAUGGCUCCUUCGGUGGUGUCCAGUGGCAGUGGCCCUAUCGUGUCUGCAAGUGCACAGGGGUACCUUUCAAGCAAGGGCGUCCACUCAUGUUACCAUGAACAAAACAGCGUGUCCAAGGCUAGCGACCUGAUCGCCAGCAUGGUUCAGCAUGGAAUGACAAGGGAUCGACCAGUGUGUGUUGGAUCACUCCCUCUGCCUGGUACUUGAGCACACACAAAUGGACAAUCCGGAACCUGUGUGCCCGUGCCUGGCUGGGCUGUCCUAGGCUGCACCUGGAUACUGGUUCGCCAGUCUGGGUGGUCUGGGUGUCCAACAGGCCGUGGCCAUGGGGUUACUGAACGGAAUCAAGGGGAGCAUUCGGAGGUCUAUGUACUGCAUGGCGAGAGGUGAAAUUCUUAGACCCAUGUGUGACAGACUGCAGCAAAGNGCGUUUCCACCAAGGGUGCGUCUGUCAAUCAAGAACGAGAGUGUGGGGAGCGAAGAUGAUCAGAUACCGUUGUAGUCCAUUACCGUAAACGAUGCCAGCUCGGUGCUGGGCCUGUGUUCUUACCAGAACGGCUAGCUCAGUGCCACCCCCUAUCAACGAGAAAUCCAAGCCUAUGGGUUCAGGGGGGAGUACCGUCGCAAGGCUGAAACUUAAAGGAAUUGACGGAAUGACACCACAAGGUGUGGAGUCUGCGGCUUAAUUUGANCUCAACACGGGGAAUGUUACCAGGUCAGGACGCAGCAAGGAUGGACAGAUUGAGAGCUCUUUCUUGAUUCUUUGGAGGGUGGUGCAUGGCCGUUUCUGGUUGGUGGAGUGAUUUGUCUGGUUGAGUCUGAUAACGAGCGAGAUCUCUGCCUCUUAAUAGCUGCCAGCCUCGUUGCUGUAGGGUGAUGGUGGACUGUCCAGGUACUGGCUCCUCGGAGCUUGGCAUCUGUGUCACCCACUGUACUUCACCCGAGAGUGCUGGUUCACUUCUUCGAGGAGCUAUGUGUGCUCACCAACACAUGCAAGCUAGAGCCGACAGCAGGUCUGUGAUGCCCCUAAAUGUCCUGGGCCGCACGCGCACGACAAUGGUACCACGAACAUGCUAAUGCCUGUGCUUUCUCCAACGGGUCCGGCACCGACAGGUGUGGGUAACCCUCGAAGCUGGUGCCGUGACUGGGAUAGAUGAUUGCAACUAUUUGCCUUGAACGAGGAAUACCUAGUAGGCGUGGUUCAUCAGGCUGCACCGAUUAUGUCCCUGCCAUUUGUACACACCGCCCGUCGUUGCAACCGAUGGCGUCAGGAUAGAGGCCUCAGGAGCCACGUAGCACUCGGCUGCCCAGUUCGCUGGGUACCACAGCUCGGGUCAAUCUGGCCAAUGUUCUCAUGCUAGAGGAUGCAAAA
rnacentral:rRNA from 1 species